UUAAGUUCAGCGGGUAGUCCUACCUGAUUUGAGGUCAAAUUGUCAAAAGUUGUCUUUGCAGACGGUUAGAAGCAAGUCUAAACCCAUUCCACGGCGUAGAUAAUUAUCACACCAAUAGACGGAGCUUAGUGAACUCGCUAAUGCAUUUCAGGGGAGCAGACCGCACAGAGGCAGCCUGCAAAAACCCCCACAUCCAAGCC
rnacentral:misc_RNA from 1 species